AUCAAACUAGGCCCUCCAAAUGUGGGUGACAGUUGUAUGGCUUGGACAGUCUGUGGGGCCACUGGCAGUUGGACUAUGAUUUAUCCCUAGUAUUUUAACUGGCUCUUUGGAGCCCAUUUUCUUUGGAGGGAUACCUUGCUCAGCCUAGAUAUAGCAGGGAGGGCCUUAGUCCUGCCUCAAAGGGAUGUGCCAGACUUUGUUAACUCCCCAUGGGAAGCCUUACCCUCUCUGAGGAUUGGAUGAAGGGUGAGGUGGGGGAAAGUUGGGGGGCAGGAGGAGGGAAAGGAGUGGGAAUUGGGAUUGGUAUGUAAAAUGAGAAAAGAUUAUUUAAAAAAUAAUAACAAAAAAGUUUUGUAGUUUUACAUGCACAAAAUUUAUGCAAUCUCAAGCCAGACUGAAUGCCAGAAUUGAGAGGGGCAUAUAAUGCCACACCUAGCAUAAUAGCUAUUCUGAUAGUUGGUGGGAGAGGAAGAACUAGUCUUCUUCAGGGAAGAGCACACCAAUUCACUAUCUAAUUACAAAUGGUCAGUCCUGAAAACCUGCAUAUGAGUAACAUUAUAUAGAUCGAACAGGUUAUAUUUAGAAAUAUAUGUAUAUAUAUAUAUGUAUAUACAUAUAUGCAUGUAGCAACAAUUAAUGGUAAAGGAGUCAAUGAAUUUGAAAGAGAGCAAGGAGGGGUUGUGGGAGGUAUAAGGUAGAAGAAAGAAGUGAUGCAAUUAUAUUAUACUAGUAAAAGAAAAAUCAGAAACCACAUACACACAAAGAUAGAAUGCUAUUAUCUUAUUAAUUACUAAAGGAUCUUCAUAUAGUCCCUUGUACUUCUAACUUUGGCAACUUGUGUCUUCUACCUUGGUUAGAUGAGUAGACUUUCAACUAUGCCAUAGAUCUUUGCAAAGUACUUCCUUUUCGUGUCCUUAUUUUUAUCUGUUGCUUUUCAUUUCCUGUGCCAUUGACCUUUGUGCAUCUUUAUGAUUUCAUUUCCCUGAUUUCUUUAGAUGAAAUUUACUAUUAUUUUAUUAGAUUAUUCAGGGGAGACCCUACUCAACAAUAUGGAAACUUUCAUAUCUUUAAUAUAAGCAAUAAAAUGAUAAUUGUCCCAUGUAAUUAGCUAUAUGUCACAAGUUGUAAUGUGCUGUUUUUCAUUCUCAUUCAAUUAAAAUUUGUUCUAAAUCCUUGUGUAAUUUCUUCUUCAAAAAUGAGUUAUUUAAAAUCAGGUUCCAAGUAUCUGGAAACUUCCCAUUCAGUUAUCUCUCUGUUAACGAUCUUUAGUUUAAUUCCAUUUUAGUCUGGGAACUUACUUCUUCUGAAUUAAAUGUUAAUUGCAUUUAUUGAAGUUUGUAGUAUUGUUCAGAAUACAGUCUUUCUUGGAGAAUGUUUGAUGUGUACUUGUAAACAACAGGUGUAUAUUAAUUGUUAUAAAUACAAUUAAUCUAGUCGUUUGUUCAGUGGUUUUUAAGUCUUGUGUGUUGCCUUUAUCCUUAGUCUGUAUCUCCAAUCAAUCAGACAACAUUCUGAAUUCUCCAUUUAUGGUCUUGAAUUUAUCUGUAUCUCUUGUUGAACACAAAGGAAAACAAAAACCAUCAAAGUGGGUACAACAAUGAGAGGAUGUGUUCAAGGUUCAUCUGAACUAAAUGGGACUCUUAGACGCAUUGUGGACCUCAGAACAAGUUGAUUAUGCAAAUGAAAAGGCACGGUUUUAAUCUCUGAACAGAAGACAAUAAUGAAACGGCAUUGACUUUGUGGGGUGACAGGAGAUGCUGCGCAGAAUCACUCAUAUUGAAUUGUAUUGUGGAAAUUUUCAUCUAACUCUCUCAAGUGGAAGUCUCAAUCUUGAAACAAAAGAAUUUUGAAAUCAAAAUUUAUAAUUAGAGAAUGCCAUGACUACUUUUAUUUAAUCCAACUUGGCUGCAAUUAAAAUGCACUUAAUUACUGGACAUUGAAUGCUGUCAUGCUGAAAACCCAACAAAGAGUGCUAUUAAACAUAGAACUUCAAAUGAA